AUGGACCUGCCGAACCCGGACAUGAAACGCAGGGCGGCGUACACCCACACGUUCGGCGAGAACGCGGUGAGCACCCCAGCGACGGACAUGGACACAAUGGACACGAGCAGCAUCUUCCUGCGGCCCAGGAGCGAGUCGGCGAGCGUUGUGAGGAGGAAGCCGCCGGCAAGGCAGCCGGCGAAGAACGAGGACGCCGGGAGGGAGACGAGCGCCGGGCCGGCGCACUUGAGGGACCACUCCGAGACCACCGACGUCACGGCCGGGCGGUCCCACGCCCACGCGCCGGGCGGGAGCGCGCACGGCGAGGCCACGGCGGCCGAGCAGGACGCGUCGGCGCCGGUGCAGUGCCACUGCGGCUCGGCGUCGGUGAAGACCGAGAUGAACACCUGCUGCGCGUCGAAGGCCCACGCGAAGGCCAGCAAGACGGCCUUGAGGAGCUGCAGGGCGCCGGUGGCGCCCAUGUACGUCUCGAUGGUGUCAUCGAUCGACGGCGCCUUGGCCGGCCUUGUUUUGUGGCUUGUUAGGAGCGGGGCGGCGGCCGUGUCAGCCAUUCGCACGGUUCGCGUGCGUGCUUCUGUGUGCUUGCCGCUAGCUUAUCUUGGCCGCUCACUGGCUGUGUGGGGAGAACGAUGA
rnacentral:rRNA from 1 species